rnacentral:rRNA from 1 species
CCGAAACCAGGUGAUCUACCCUUGGUCAGGUUGAAGUUCAGGUAACACUGAAUGGAGGACCGAACCGACUUACGUUGAAAAGUGAGCGGAUGAACUGAGGGUAGCGGAGAAAUUCCAAUCGAACCUGGAGAUAGCUGGUUCUCUCCGAAAUAGCUUUAGGGCUAGCCUCAAGUGAUGAUUAUUGGAGGUAGAGCACUGUUUGGACGAGGGGCCCCUCUCGGGUUACCGAAUUCAGACAAACUCCGAAUGCCAAUUAAUUUAACUUGGGAGUCAGAACAUGGGUGAUAAGGUCCGUGUUCGAAAG